AUUGAACGCUGGCGGCAGGCCUAACACAUGCAAGUCGAACGAGUGGCGGACGGGUGAGUAAUGUCUGGGAAACUGCCCGAUGGAGGGGGAUAACUACUGGAAACGGUAGCUAAUACCGCAAACCAUCGGAUGUGCCCAGAUGGGAUUGGCUAGUAGGUGGGGUAACGGCUCACAUAGGCGACGAUCCCUAGCUGGUCUGAGAGGCUGACCAGCCACACUGGAACUGAGAAACGGUCCAGACUCCGACGGGAGGCAGCAGUGGGGAAUAUUGCCAAAUGGGCGCAAGCCUGAUGCAGCCAUGCCGCGUGUAUGAAGAAGGCCUUCGGGUUGUAAAGUACUUUCAGCGAGGAGGCGUUACUCGCAGAAGAAGCACCGGCUAACUACGUGCCAGCCGCCGCGGUAAUUC
rnacentral:rRNA from 1 species